UGUCGCAGACACUAAAGCAGUCGGUCAUGUUUUUCUGUGUUCUGAUCAACGCUGAAUAAACUUGUAAAUAAUGCUCUCCUGACUGCAACUUUUGGCUGUGCAUUAUCUGCUGAUAGAGCGUGCAUGAGCUCUAGAAUGUGGCCAGAUAUUUUCUAGAAACUCAUGUCGCUGCGUGCCUACGGGAGGCCGAUGGAUCAUCCGGCAGACGGCUUGGGGGCCGUGAUGGACUUUAUCUCCCUGGCAGUACCCCAACAACAGGUUUCGGGCCCAGAUUCACAGCACUUACAGGAGAGUAAGACUGCGACAGACUGCGUUGAGAGGUAUGUGGAAGAAAAGCGAAAGUGAGGCUUUUCUGUUUGCCGAGGCAAGGGCCUUUGAACUCCGGCAGAUUAAUGGAUCUGGGAGCCGCGCCAAAGGCCUCAAGAUUUAUGGGCUGCCGAGAUAAGACAUCUUUGAAGUGAAUUAGACUCACGGCUCGAAUAGAAACCUGGAAUGGAGUUUUUCCAAGCUUCUGAGGCUGCUGAGUGCCCAAAGUUAAAUCGGCACAACUAUCAGACCUGGGCUGUGUGGUGUGAGAGCUUGCUGCGUCAGUUUGGAGUGUGGCAUACUGUGUCUGAAGCCCCUCCAGUUCCUCUGACAGAUAGAUGGAGGGCCGCUAAUUCGAAGGCCGUUGACAUAAUAGUCUUGUCCGUCUCUCUGGAGGAAAUUAAAACGUUAGCUGGCAAUGUGACUGCACGUAAUAUGUGGCAUGCUUUGAAGAUAGCCCAUCUGCCACUCAUCCCAGCCCAGAGUUUGACUGCAUCGGAGGUCCUGGCUGUUUCCCAGAAUGCGAGUGAAUGCAGGGAUGCCGAGGGCACCGGUUGCAAGCUGCAGGGGAGCUGACUGUCACGUCAUCCCAGGCAGCAUUCCAGCCUCCAGGGGGAGCCAAGGAGUCGGCAGCUGAGAGCUCUGUUUCUCAUGGGAACCAAGGUCAUCGCCUUUGCAGAGGCCGGAAAGGCAAAGGUAAACAGAGGCAGACGCCUGCAGAUGGCCAGAAGCAGAGGGAGGGUGAAGAGCCCAUGCCGGUGGAAAACAAAGUUUUGUUUGCUGGCACAGCCUCACUAAAGGCUAAAGGCAAGUCUGAUGGCCAGGAGCAGGGGGGCAAGCUGCAAAAGCCCACGCCGGUGGAAAACAAGGUUUUGCUUGCUGCAAAGGCUGCUCCAAAAGCCAAGGCCAGGUUUGUUGUUGAUUCAGGCUGUACCCGCCAUGUCUCAAAGGACCGCCACCUAUUUAUCUCCUUCAAACCUCAAGAAGGUGAGAUCCACCUGGCUGAUGGGAAGACGUUGCGAAUUGCAGGAGAAGGGACUGUGAAACUGGCAAGUCUGCGCACUACCAUCAAAGAUGUACUGUAUGUUCCAGGCGCUGCAGACAAUUUGCUCAGUGUCCCACAGUUGACUGGGCGUGGUUUUGAGAUUUCCUUCAAGAGGAGCGUCUGUGUCAUCAGAAAAGGCAAAGAGGACAUUUUGCAUGCAAAGUUUAUGGAUGGCUUGUUCUGUAUAACUUAUGAUGACAUUGGUGCUGUUGUGUCUAAUGCUGAUUCUUGUUGUGUUGCACAAACUAACAAAGUUCUUCAUGCAGGAUGCAUUCAUGAUGCACACAGAAGAUUUUGUCACAUGUCUUGGCAGGCGCUGGCCAAGAUGCCAGAGAUGGUUGAGGGUUUGAACAUCAAACCCUGUAAGUUUCACAUGAAAUGUGUAUCUUGUGCAGAGAACAAGGUGAAGGUUGCUCCAAAAGGCAAGGAGUCUAGCAGGCAGGCUUCCAAACCCUACCAGCUAGUGCACGCAGACCUGGUUGGUCCACUUGCACCCUCUUUGGGUGGAGCAAGGUACUUCAUGGUUCUAAUUGAUUCUUUUUCCAGGUACAUUCAUGUGUUUAUGCUCGAGCAGAAAUCGCAAGCGUUUCCUAAGUUCAAGGCAUUCUGUGCUUGGUUGGAGAAUGUUCACGGUAAACGUAUUGGCUGUCUGUUUACUGAUCGAGGCGGGGGUUCACUUCUCAGCAGUUUGAAGCUUUCCUGACUGAGAAGGGAAUCCAGCAUGACUUGUCAACGCCUAGAUCGCCAUGGAUGAAUGGGCUUGCAGAGCGAGCAAAUCAAACGUUGCUGCAAGGAAUGAAAACAUUGUUGCAUGAUGCCAAUCUCCCUGAUAAGUAUUGGGGGGAGGCUCUGUCAAAUUUUGUUUACACCUUUAAUCGCAGGUUGUCAUCACCUAUUGGUUGUACCCCCUAUGAGAAGAUGUUUGGUAAGAAACCCAACAUCAAGCACAUGAGAAUCUUUGGUUCUGACAUGUGGGUACACACCCCACAGAGCAACAAGCUUGGGAAGCGUGGGGCACAUGGUUUGUUCAUGGGGUACGAAAAAGGUGCAUACAGGGUAUGGAUGACCAACUCUAAGUCCAUUAAGUUCACAAAGAGUGUUGAGUACAAUCCUAAGUGGGGGGAAAAUGUGGGAAUUUUCCAGAGUUACCCAGAGGAGGAUGAAGGUGAUGUCAAAGAAGCAGCUAAAGCUGAGGAAGCUGCUGAGGAUGAUGAUGAUGAUGAUCAGAGUUCAGAUUCCAGUUCAGUGGGCGGCGCUGCUGCUGGUGUCAGUGACAGUGAUGACACAGCAGACUACAAGAGCGCAAAGGCCUCAGUCAGACCGUCUGAUGCGUCUGACAAUGAACUGGAAGAACCACUGUUCACCAUUGGUCACUUUUCUCCUAAGAAGGAGGAGAUGAGUCCAGAAGACUUGCGUCUAGUACGCAGAUCUGAGAGAGCAACCAAGGGCAGACCUCCAAAGAGAUUUGCUGAUGAGUUUGCUAAGACAGCAACUGCUGUUCUUAGUAGCUCAGAGAAGGUAUGGGAACCUUCAAGCUUCAAAGAGGUUCAGGAGUUAACCUCUAAAGAUGCUGAGCCUUGGCUUAAUGCCAUGAAGGCUGAAGUUGAUUCCUUGAAUAGGAACCAAACUUGGGAACUGGUACCGGUAGUCCCAGGGAUGAGACUGGUUGGCAGCAAAUGGGUCUUCAAGGCCAAGACAGACCAGAAUGGCAAGGUAGUCAGACACAAAGCCAGAUUGGUUGCCAGAGGUUUUUCACAGGUACCAGGACAGGAUUACCACGAGACCUACUCACCCACCGUCAAAUAUGAGAGCAUUCGGCUGAUGCUCAAGAUAGCUGCAGAGGAGAAACUGCAUGUUUCCCAUCAUGACAUUAAUACAGCUUUUUUGUACGGGGCUUUGGAGGAGGAGCUGUUUAUGCUUCCACCUGAUGGGAUGCAGAUACAGAAGGGAAUGGUCUGUAAACUGCGGAAAUCCUUAUAUGGUCUCAAGCAGAGUGCCAGGUGUUGGAACACAAAACUCACUGAGACGUUGCUUUCUCUAGGUUUUCACCAGGGCAAAGCUGAUCCAUGUGUGUUUGUCAAGGAGGAGGGCAAAACAAACUGUAUUGUUUAUGUUUUGUUGAUGAUCUUCUGAUGUUUUGGAAGAAUCAGGCUUUCUACCAAAGCACCCUAGCUCAGCUGAAGGAGCACUUUGACAUGAAGGAUCUUGGUGAGGUAUCCAACUAUCUUUCUCUGCAGGUGGAGAGGGACCAAGCAGGUAAUUUUCUGGUACACCAAACACAGAAAAUUGCUGAUGUAUUAACCAGGUUGAAUUUGGUUGAUGCAAACCCAGCAGACACACCGAUGGUGACAGGUUACCAGGUAGACAGUACUGCUGAAGCGUUUUCUGACACAACGCUGUACAGAUGCAUUCUAGGCAAGUUGAAUUUCAUUGCUAGAUGCUCAAGACCUGACAUAGCUGUAAGCACUAACCUGCUUAGCAGACAUGCCAACAAUCCUACUGUUCAGGAUUGGAAAGCUCUGAAGCGCAUAGCCCGCUAUUUGAAAGGGACUUUGCACUACAGGCUGAGGUUCACCAGUCAGAAGACUGGAGGUCUUGAAAUCUUUGCAGAUGCAAGUUUUGGAAGUGACACCACGGAUGGUACAAGCACUUCUGGAGUAUGCUACAUGUACAACCACUGUCUGUUUGACUGGCUGUGCAAGAAGCAGACGACAGUGAGCCUAAGUUCCUGUGAAGCAGAACUCAAUGCUCUGUCAUUUUCACUCAUGGAUUGUGAAUGGUUGAUGCAACUGUUUAAGGACAUCAGAGUUUCUGUGAAAUGUCCUGUACAAGUGUAUCAAGACAAUAGAUCGUGUUUGGCUUUGCUGAACUCGGAGAGUUGCAAGCAAAGGACCAAGUACUUGCAGAUUAAGCUACAUCGUGCAAGAGAGUGUAUUCAGAAAGGACUCAUUCAGGUGUCCUACAUGCCAGGAAAUGAAAUUCCUGCUGAUCUGUUGUCUAAGGUUGUUAACAGAGAACAACUUAAGGUUUACGUACAAAGGUUGCAAUUGGGUUGAACCACAGGUACUACAGGUUACACGGAAAGGGGGAGGAUGUUAGGAUAUUUCCGUUCCACCUUAAAAGGGAGCAGGCUUUGUGAGACAGAGUCUGCGUAUUUCCUGUUCACAGGAUGUUUAUGUUUUCUGUUGCUUUCGUUUUCUCUCUGUUGUCGCAGACACUAAAGCAGUCGGUCAUGUUUUUCUGUGUUCUGAUCAACGCUGAAUAAACUUGUAAAUAAUGCU
rnacentral:lncRNA from 1 species